AUUUUCUAAGUUUAGUUUCAUUUUCUCUAUAAAAGUUAAACUAUUGUUGCUGAUGCAUUGGUUUGUCAUCGUCACGUGACCAAGUUCCUGGGUUUUCUGACCAAUAGCUGAAAGUCCGUGUGACGUCAGAAGGUUAGCUGCUCAGACUUUGAGUCUCAGCUAGCUUACCGCUUGGUUACCAUGGUGACGUCCUCUGCGUGUCUGGUUUAGUGAUCAGUUUGUGUGAGUCUUUGCUCAGCCAGCCGAAGGAUAUUAACGGGUUUUGUAAAAGUCGUCGUGAAAAGAACAACUGAUUCGGUUCGAGGUGAAAAGAGAAGAACGUCUGAGCUCCGUAAAGUGAUUCAUUUCUGCAUGAGGUUCUUCCUCCAUCACUGCUCACCUGGAAGACUCCAGGUUGAUUCUGAUUGGUUGUUCUUCAUUAAAGAGAGAAGCCCCGGUCCUCUCCGGUCCGGUCCGGUCCGGUCCGGCAGACAUGGAGCAGUACAGCAUCCUGGGUCGGAUCGGAGAAGGAGCUCAUGGCAUCGUCUUCCAGGCCAAACACAUCGAGACAGGAGAGACGGUGGCCCUGAAGAAGGUGGCUCUGAGGAAGCUGGAGGACGGCAUCCCGAACCAGGCAGUGAGGGAGAUCAAGGCCCUGCAGGAGAUCGAGGACAACCAGCAUGUGAGUGGUGGUUCUGGUUAUAACGGUUCUGGUUC